CACAGGCUGGCACUCAACCACUGAGCCACACCAGCCCCGGGGCUAUAUUGGGUUUUUUAAUUGAAUCUAUUCCGGUGACACUGGUAAAUAAAAUUAUAUGGGUUUCAGGUGCCUGCACCUUUGGUUAGUAGUUGAGACCCUCAGCGCACACUCAUUGCCACUAAUGACUGAGUCAACCCAGCUUUCUCUGAGAAUGAGUGGAAACAUCUGGCUAUGUGUCUGUGUGUCUGUUACUGUUUGUGAGGCAGGGUGGUGGUGGUUAGGGAAUCCAUCCUGAAAUCUUUUCUUUAGGUUGUUUUUCUUGUAGUUUGAGAAAAGCAAUUCUGAAACUAUUUAAAAGGUAUUUUAGGAUUCAGUAGGUUAACAGGUCAAUUUUUGAGAUAUCAUUAUCCUUACUAUUGAGGCCAACUGCAUUUCCCAGGAGCGUAGCAGUGGAGGUGCCCAAUCAGGGGGCCAGCACUACCAGGCCCAUGUCAGGGACAGGGCCUUCCAGACUUGCAGUCCAGCCUCUCAGGCAGGAUGAAAGCUCCCAGAGACACCUCUCUCUAUAUAUAAUUCCCAGAGGCUACAUUUGAGUAGGCGUCUGAACCUGCAGAAGGGUGCAGGUGGACAGCUUAGCAGAGUCCAGGAAGCCUGGGUUGAAAAAUAUAGGAGUUACAGAAAAUCAUGAUUACACUAACCUUGUUCACCAGAGAUGGUGAACAUGGACACCUGUGCCUCCUACUAUGAAAAGGCUGAGCCCUCCCAGCGUAAGGAGGCAGUGGACAGCCACAGACAAACCAACCCACCUCGGAGCAACGCUUCCUAGGAAUUCAAGUUCAGGUUCCCCCGCUCGGUGUAAGCCAUGCUUCGAAGGCUUUUUCUUUAUUUCCGGGAGGCUACCGUUGGGCGGGCGUUCCAACCUCUGGAAAAGGGCGGUGGGAGGCUCAGCAAAGUCCAAGAUACCUAGGUUUUGAGAAUUCCCGCAGUUGUAGGAAAUCGUGGUUAGACUAACCUUGCCCAUGAGGUAGCACAGUCAGGUGCUUAGAGCCCCGUACUACCUCUCAAAGACGGCUCUCCUGAAGGAGGAAACAGAGGGCGGCCCCAGAUUUCCGUGGAACGGGACUUCUGGGAGUAGUAGGGCAGGCUCCCCGGCCAACCUUAGGCUGCUCUCAUCUUUAUCGUUUCCAGAGGCUAUCGUUGAGCUGGAAUUGCGAUCUAGCGACUCCGCAGAGUCCGGAAAACCUGGGCUUGAGAAAUCAGGAAGUUAUACAAAAUCUUGUUUAUACUAUGUUCACUAAGUGACGAUUUCCGACCCCUGGUACUACUACUCGGUGAGUUCCAGCGCCCCUCCAGAGAACUGGACGCAAGGUGCGGAUCCAUUAAUUCGCGACUCGUAGAAGUUGAAGCUUUCUGAGAGUAGUAGUUCAUUGUGUCAGGCUCUGACUCUGUACUCACGGAGCUGCGGAAUGCAACUCACGGAAUGCAACUCCCAGCAGGACAAGCUACACCGAGGAGGCCGGGAGUGGGGGCCUCAGUGGGUCGUGACGACCACAAGGACCGCCAUGGCGACAGUGGGCAGCAGUGAAUACUCACAAGGGGCAAUAAGUACACACACCAGGAAUCGAACUUCAAUCUCUUAUACUCCGAGGCGUGGGAAAGCAGUGCCCGGAACACGACGAGUGGCCCUCUGGGAGUAGUAGUACCUGCGCGCCAGUGCAGGGGCAGUCCCGACAAACGGCAGAUGUGCCUUCAACCAACUAUUGGAGGAGAGGGUGCUCAGAGUCAGGCUUAUUGUGGGACCCUGACGGAGUGGCUGGCGGUCCAGAGCUCUGAGCCCAGUUUAACAGCUUACACCACGCCCUUGGCGCAGCGCUGGAGGCAACAGCUGGAAGUGCGUGAGACUCUUUCUGGGUGAUGUAGUUUGCGCUGCGUUGGCUGGUGGCCUUGGCCUCCGUGCGGAGGUGUAACGGCCAAUGGUUCUGGAUCAGGGCGAAACAGUUGAACGGGCUGGAGUUUGUGAGGCAGUUCUCGAAUUCCGAACCUGCUGCAUUUCCAGAGUUCUGGACGGGAGCGGGGCAAGCCUGGAGUAACCGAUGUGAGCAUUCAACCCUCGGGGAGGUGUACCUCUUGGCCAGUGUGCACAGGCUCAUUCCUGGUCAGUGGAAACUGCAGACCUGGUUCCAUAAACCAGAACGUAGAGAGGGGUGCUGUGUGGAGGUCCAGCGUCCUUCUUGGAGCUGUGCCCGUGGUGUCUACUCAAUGACACAAUAUUCUGUCAUGUUCCUCUUUGUUACUUUGCGCCACAGGUGGCUGGCUUCCAGGGCGGCAGGGACCGGGUCUAGUGGUUGGUGUGCAGUAAGGGGAUUCCCAAGGUACAAGAUGGAUGUUGUCCUGAGACAGGGCCCUGGCUCCCGGCUCUCCGGCUCUCUGGGGAGCAAUCUGAGAGCCAGGCUGACCUGCAUCAGCCCCUACUCAGAAGGACCGUCGGAAUUCAAGGUCAGGAAGACCUGAGUCAAAUGCAGCCUCACCUUCCCUAGGGUCUUUCUGUCCCAAAAGGGUGAACAUGGGAGAACAAAAAUACAAGAUUUUAAUCCCAGUCAUCUGGGACCCAGAAAACAGACUCUUUAUCUGAAACACUGAGCACUGAGUGCAGGCCAGGCAUCAUCCAUUCUUCUUUAUUAAUUCAUCAAACAUGUACUCACGUGUCCUGGGUGCCAGGCCCUGUUCUAUGCCCACCAGCCUCUGGACAGAGAAAACUCAUACCUUGAAUACUGCAGUAAGGACAACACGGCACAAACGGAAAGAGGCAGAAUUGGGAUACAUAGUCAGGGUCAUCAAAGGAAGAUGCAGUAGCGGUGACAGGGGAAAGGCAUCCUACCUUGGGCCUGAGUUUCAUUUUGGGCAAUCAGACAGCCUCGAGCUUGUAUACCACCAGGAACAUGUAAUGUGGAGUAUGGAAAUCUUAGAUGUUAAACAGCUGCCCACUGAAAUGGGAGGUUUCCCUCCCAGCAGCACUUGCUGUCACGUGUAAACUGCACCUGUGCUCCAUGAUCAGACAAUUUUUUAAAAUAUUUUUAAAUCUCAUUCGAGAGUAUAUUUAUUGAGUUUACAGAGACAGUAAGGGCAGCUGGGAGAGAGACAUCGAUGUGAGAGAGAAACGUCGAUAGGGUAUAUCCAAUACAGGCCCUGACCAGGGAUUGAACCCACAGGGUUUGGUACAUGGGAACACACUCCAACCAACUAAGCCACCCAGCCAGGGCCCUUUUUUCCACUGCAGUUCUGGUAAUCUCUAUCUCAGGUCACCACCCUUAUUUUAAGAGAGAAGGAAACAGCCACAGCAAGCAGUGUCCAGGGAACCCAAACUGUCUGGUUCCCUGUCAUGACAACAGAAA